ACGGAGGGUGCAAGCGUCAUUCGGAAUCAUUGGGUGUAAAGCGCGUGUAGGCGGCUAGGUAAGUCAGAUGUGAAAGUUCUGGGCUUAACCGAGAAAGUGCAUUUGAAACUGCCUGGCUUGAGUCUCGUAGAGGAAGGUGGAAUUCCCAGUGUAGAGGUGAAAUUCGUAGAUAUUGGGAGGAACACCGGUGGCGAAGGCGACCUUCUGGGCGAAGACUGACGCUGAGACGCGAAAGCGUGGGGAGCAAACAG
rnacentral:rRNA from 1 species